rnacentral:lncRNA from 1 species
UUAAGCCUGAGUGUAUUUGAUUGAGGUAAACUAGUUUUCAUCUACUUCCUACUUUUUCAACUAGAAAAUUCUGGACCCCCAUGGAGAAAGCACUUAUAAAUCAAAAAGGGAGAAAAGAGGUUUCAGAGGAGCUAUUCAAAGUGCUAUAUAUGAACCAAGGAAGGUAACAACUGCUUUGAAAAAGUCUUACUGUGCAUUACUCGGACACAUAGGCCUCUACUUCUGAAUAAUUGUUACAGUUAGGUACCAAAAUUGCAGCCGUCGUUUUAAAAAUAGGUAGAGAGUAGUGGGAAAAUAUUAAGAGCUCAGGGAAGCUUCCUCAAGGCUGCUUCCUUUUGCUGGAGCGCAGAGCAAAACAGAGGUGAGAGGAAAGCAGUGGAGCGCAAGGAAUUCCACACCCAGACCACAAGGCUCCCAUUGCUCUACAAAGGAGUAGGUAUUUCUAGUUCUUCUAAUCCUUUCUCUCACAUCUCUAGUCUAGCCCUGCAGUUUGGAAACAAGUCAUAUUGAGAGAGGGACAAAAAAUAUCAGGACAGCGAGCUUUACAGGAGCAGUCUCUAAUGUUGCUUCUCUCCCUCACAUACACCACCAGUAUCUGACAGUUUCACACUACUGCACAUCCCUGUAGAUGAUCAGUAGAUGUACUAACCUUUUUCUGGUCUCUUCAUCAAGAAAACUGCAAGAUUCCAUUCCAUGGAGAUUGGCACAGAUUUAUACACCUGGUCACAGGCACCUGGCACACCUCUGACACUGCUCCCACUACUGGAAAAAGAGGCAAAGGAUAUGUGUUUUACAUCCCCCCAGUGUCCAAUUCUGAGAAGUCAGAAUGAAGACAAAGUAAAAACAGCAUCUACUUCUUGCAAGCUACUUGACUUUCUUGGAAUGCAUCUUCAGCUUAUGAAAUGCUGGGAAAGCAUUUGGUGAUCAGGGCCUGGUUAGGUUAAGAAUGUAGAAUUAGAGCCUUUAAUCCCUGAGAUUUGAAAAUGUCGCUGAGACAGAAAAAAAUAAGAAUAGUAAAGAAUAAACUUGCUUCCCCCCUAAGCA